AUUGAACGCUGGCGGCAGGCCUAACACAUGCAAGUCGAGCGAGCGGCGGACGGGUGAGUAAUGUCUGGGAAUCUGCCUGAUGGCGGGGGAUAACUACUGGAAACGGUAGCUAAUACCGCAUACCAUCGGAUGAGCCCAGAUGGGAUUAGCUAGUAGGUGGGGUAACGGCUUACCUAGGCGACGAUCCCUAGCUGGUCUGAGAGGAUGACCAGCCACACUGGGACUGAGACACGGGCCAGACUCCUACGGGAGGCAGCAGUGGGGAAUAUUGCACAAUGGGCGCAAGCCUGAUGCAGCCAUGCCGCGUGUAUGAAGAAGGCCUUCGGGUUGUAAAGUACUUUCAGCGGGGAGGCGUUACCCGCAGAAGAAGCACCGGCUAACUCCGUGCCAGCAGCCGCGGUAAUUC
rnacentral:rRNA from 1 species